rnacentral:rRNA from 1 species
UGUCGACCUCAGAUCAGACGAGAUGACC